rnacentral:rRNA from 1 species
GAUGAACGCUGGCGGCGUGCUUAACACAUGCAAGUCGAACGAUGAAGCCCAGCUUGCUGGGUGGAUUAGUGGCGAACGGGUGAGUAACACGUGAGUAACCUGCCCUUAACUCUGGGAUAAGCCUGGGAAACUGGGUCUAAUACCGGAUAGGAGCGUCCACCGCAUGGUGGGUGUUGGAAAGAUUUAUCGGUUUUGGAUGGACUCGCGGCCUAUCAGCUUGUUGGUGAGGUAAUGGCUCACCAAGGCGACGACGGGUAGCCGGCCUGAGAGGGUGACCGGCCACACUGGGACUGAGACACGGCCCAGACUCCUACGGGAGGCAGCAGUGGGGAAUAUUGCACAAUGGGCGCAAGCCUGAUGCAGCGACGCCGCGUGAGGGAUGACGGCUUUCGGGUUGUAAACCUCUUUCAGUAGGGAAGAAGCGAAAGUGACGGUACCUGCAGAAGAAGCACCGGCUAACUACGUG